AGAAGGCAGGAGCGUGGGCUGUGGUGGCGGCUGGGGGUGCCUGCACUGAGAGACGUGUGGCCAUUGAGGUGGGAGAGGAGGCUGCUAGAAUACAAGCAGAGGUGGUAGGGUGGAAAGGCGGUGAGGGCCAGCCCACCUUCCCCCCCAUCCGCUUCCCACCCCCACCCCCUCCACCCAUCCACUCCAGGCCGGGACUCUAGCUAGGGCUUUUUCCUGAAGGAAACGGAGCAAACAUCAACAACAAUUUUCUCCAGGCAGGAAAAGACCAUGCUGAGCAUGCUCUGGAUCAGUCCUGGGAUCUUGUCGCAACGAUAGCUUGAGCCUCUCCUCUGCCUCCAGAUAGCCAACUGGACAGCUCUGAAAUGAGCAGAUGUGAACAGACCUUCCUCUAAAUCAAGCGUACAAAUGACCAAAAGACUGUCAGCAUCAUCAGCUACCAGGGCAGGGCACAUCUAACCCACGGUGAGAUGCCGCACACCUGUGAGGAUGGGCUAAUCCAAACGGCAGAGAAAUACAAGUGUUGUCAAGGAUGCAGAGCAACUCCAGCAUCCCAUGGCUGUGAUGCUAAGAGAGGGCCAGGUCUUUGGACGCUUGAACGCAGCCAUGGGACCUUGUCUGAACAGUGCCUGCACACUAGAACGUGCGCAAGACUGUUGCCAGCCACAGCGCUUAUGAUAAGCAAAAUGUGGAAAUAACUUGUGUCCAUCAACGGGUAAAUAAAAUAUGGUAUGUCUAUAAAAUGAAAUACUACUUGGCAAUAGGAAGGAAUGAAGAAGGCGCUGUAACAUAAAGAACCCUAAAAACACAACUGAAAGAAGUCUGUCACAAAAGAACAUCUACAGCCUGACAAGCAAGGUCCCCAGGGACAGAAAACAGAUUAAUGGCUGACAGCCUGUGGGAGGGGCUGAGACCAGCAAGUGGCUGCCCUAGGGGUAUGAGGAGUCUUUAUGAAGUGAUAAAAGUUGGUUGUGAUGUGACU